GUGAAUCAUCAAAUUUUUGAACGCAAAUUGCACUCUCUUCGGAGAGUAUGCCUGUUUGAGGGUCAGCCUAAAAAAAAAUCGACAUAGGCGCUGUUUCGCGGUGAUAUUCGUCGGAAACUGGGUCAGCUUAAACCUUUGGGUUUUAAGCGGCGCAAACUUUUUUUUACGAUUCCACGAACGUUUCUAAGAUUUACUUCUCAUACGAUUAAGGUAUCGAUCUUUAUCAGACGUGGCCUUUGCAUCGGAUAUCGUCCAUAAACAUUUCGU
rnacentral:misc_RNA from 1 species